GAGAGAAAUUUUUUUUUCUUGUGUUUACCCUUUUUCCCUUCAAUCUCUGUUCUGUUGUUGAUACAGAGAGGGGAAACUAAGAUAGGAAGAAGAAAUGCAGAGGACAAGGGAUCAACGUUCAAGAUCUUCCAGACCCAUAACUAUUCAUGGGUUAGCACAAUCUGGGGAUGUUGUUGCCUUUAAAAAGUUGCUAAAUGACAACCCUUUUCUUCUUAAUGAACGUAACCCUGUUAUGGUGCAGACGCCUCUUCAUGUUGCUACUGGUUACAACAAUGUCGAAAUACUCAAGUUUUUGCUCAGUUGGCCGGGCCCAGAGAAAGUGGAGCUGGAAGCCAAGAACAUGUAUGGAG
rnacentral:misc_RNA from 1 species